AUGGAAGGAUGCUCGCGGCCCCCGGGCCUUAUGUCAGUCACCGCGGUGCGUCAUCGGCACUAUUGGCUCACCAGCCCCCGCGGGAGAGGCCCAGCCCCCACGCCGGUUUCGGCCCCCGGGAGGUGGGUGUCAGGCUUGGCAGGCUCCAGCCACGGCUGCGCCAUCCAAGGGCGGCUUCCUGCCAGGGCCGCUCCCACAGUUACCCAGUGGCUGGUGGCCACCGAGAGACUCACACAGGGCAGGGGCCUCUGGGUUUCCAGGCCCAGGGGCAGGAGUUGGGCAACACGGGGCUCGUCCCAGGGCUUGUCCCUCUCAGUUGGGCUGACGACCCCUCCCGGCCCGGAAACAGCACAGGCCUCGCCCUCCUGCGUUGAGCAAGGCCCCUCCCCCGGGGCCAGCUGCCCGCUGCUUCCUCUGGAAGAGGCUCCCCUGUCUGGGGCUGGGGGGUGCCCCAGCAGGGCUUCUCCUUCAAGAAGCCCCUCCCUCCCGCCGUCCUCGCUGCCCGCCCCCAGCCGCCACAGGCUGCGGAUGCCAGGAUCUCCACCCCCUGCACCCACGUGGGCCCUGGUGGCUUGGCUGGCACUGCCCCCCCCCCCUCCCCGCAGUCUGGCUUUUCCAACUCUGGGCUCCAAAUUUAGGGGGUGGAAACAGGCUCACCGUGGCAGGGCUCCCCGGUUUGCCAUGGCUGGAUGGACCAGAGAGGUCCACGGGGCUCAGCUGCACGCGCCUGUGAGACCCAGGCCUUCCCCAUCGGGGUCACCUCUCCUACCCCCGCCCUCCAGAACGGAGACAAGACGAGGCCGCGUCUGGGGCAGGGGAUUUUCCAUGCCAGCUGUGUUGAGGCUCAGGGGCCGCCAGCUCCGGGCCGUGGCUGGAUGCCCUUCUCUUUUCUCAGGCAGAGUCAUUUGCAUUCCUGGGUACAGCCUGUUCAGUUUCCGUCCCGCCCGGCCCUGUACUCAGAAGAACCAGUUCCGGAGGGUGCGGCUCUGGCCCGUGGGCCCCGGGGAGUCGCCCACUUAG
rnacentral:lncRNA from 1 species